rnacentral:rRNA from 1 species
CACGUAGGGGGCGAGCGUUGUCCGGAUUUAUUGGGCGUAAAGAGCUCGUAGGUGGUUCGGUAAGUCGGGUGUGAAACCUCCAGGCUCAACCUGGAGACGCCACCCGAUACUGCUGUGACUAGAGUCCAGUAGGGGAGCGUGGAAUUCCUGGUGUAGCGGUGAAAUGCGCAGAUAUCAGGAGGAACACCAGUGGCGAAGGCGGCCUGCUGGGCAGUUGCUGACGCUGAGGCGCGACAGCGUGGGGAGCAAACAGG